rnacentral:rRNA from 1 species
UACAGAGGGGGCAAGCGUUGUUCGGAAUUACUGGGCGUAAAGGGCGCGUAGGCGGCCGCCUAAGUCAGACGUGAAAUCCCUCGGCUCAACCGGGGAACUGCGUCUGAUACUGGGUGGCUUGAAUCCGGGAGAGGGAUGCGGAAUUCCAGGUGUAGCGGUGAAAUGCGUAGAUAUCUGGAGGAACACCGGUGGCGAAGGCGGCAUCCUGGACCGGCAUUGACGCUGAGGCGCGAAAGCUAGGGGAGCAAACGGGG